rnacentral:rRNA from 1 species
GUUUGAUCCUGGCUCAGGACGAACGCUGGCGGCGUGCCUAAUACAUGCAAGUCGAACGAACUCUGGUAUUGAUUGGUGCUUGCAUCAUGAUUUACAUUUGAGUGAGUGGCGAACUGGUGAGUAACACGUGGGAAACCUGCCCAGAAGCGGGGGAUAACACCUGGAAACAGAUGCUAAUACCGCAUAACAACUUGGACCGCAUGGUCCGAGUUUGAAAGAUGGCUUCGGCUAUCACUUUUGGAUGGUCCCGCGGCGUAUUAGCUAGAUGGUGGGGUAACGGCUCACCAUGGCAAUGAUACGUAGCCGACCUGAGAGGGUAAUCGGCCACAUUGGGACUGAGACACGGCCCAAACUCCUACGGGAGGCAGCAGUAGGGAAUCUUCCACAAUGGACGAAAGUCUGAUGGAGCAACGCCGCGUGAGUGAAGAAGGGUUUCGGCUCGUAAAACUCUGUUGUUAAAGAAGAACAUAUCUGAGAGUAACUGUUCAGGUAUUGACGGUAUUUAACCAGAAAGCCACGGCUAACUACGUGCCAGCAGCCGCGGUAAUACGUAGGUGGCAAGCGUUGUCCGGAUUUAUUGGGCGUAAAGCGAGCGCAGGCGGUUUUUUAAGUCUGAUGUGAAAGCCUUCGGCUCAACCGAAGAAGUGCAUCGGAAACUGGGAAACUUGAGUGCAGAAGAGGACAGUGGAACUCCAUGUGUAGCGGUGAAAUGCGUAGAUAUAUGGAAGAACACCAGUGGCGAAGGCGGCUGUCUGGUCUGUAACUGACGCUGAGGCUCGAAAGUAUGGGUAGCAAACAGGAUUAGAUACCCUGGUAGUCCAUACCGUAAACGAUGAAUGCUAAGUGUUGGAGGGUUUCCGCCCUUCAGUGCUGCAGCUAACGCAUUAAGCAUUCCGCCUGGGGAGUACGGCCGCAAGGCUGAAACUCAAAGGAAUUGACGGGGGCCCGCACAAGCGGUGGAGCAUGUGGUUUAAUUCGAAGCUACGCGAAGAACCUUACCAGGUCUUGACAUACUAUGCAAAUCUAAGAGAUUAGACGUUCCCUUCGGGGACAUGGAUACAGGUGGUGCAUGGUUGUCGUCAGCUCGUGUCGUGAGAUGUUGGGUUAAGUCCCGCAACGAGCGCAACCCUUAUUAUCAGUUGCCAGCAUUAAGUUGGGCACUCUGGUGAGACUGCCGGUGACAAACCGGAGGAAGGUGGGGAUGACGUCAAAUCAUCAUGCCCCUUAUGACCUGGGCUACACACGUGCUACAAUGGAUGGUACAACGAGUUGCGAACUCGCGAGAGUAAGCUAAUCUCUUAAAGCCAUUCUCAGUUCGGAUUGUAGGCUGCAACUCGCCUACAUGAAGUCGGAAUCGCUAGUAAUCGCGGAUCAGCAUGCCGCGGUGAAUACGUUCCCGGGCCUUGUACACACCGCCCGUCACACCAUGAGAGUUUGUAACACCCAAAGUCGGUGGGGUAACCUUUUAGGAACCAGCCGCCUAAGGUGGGACAGAUGAUUAGGGUGAAGUCGUAACAAGGUAGCCGUAGGAGAACCUGCGGCUG